UACGAAGGGGGCUAGCGUUGCUUGGAAUCACUGGGCGUAAAGCGCACGUAGGCGGAUUGUUAAGUUAGGGGUGAAAUCCUGGAGCUCAACUCCAGAACUGCCUUUGAUACUGGCGAGCUCGAGUCCGGGAGAGGUGAGUGGAACUGCGAGUGUAGAGGUGAAAUUCGUAGAUAUUCGCAAGAACACCAGUGGCGAAGGCGGCUCACUGGCCCGGUACUGACGCUGAGGUGCGAAAGCGUGGGGAGCAAACAGG
rnacentral:rRNA from 1 species